rnacentral:rRNA from 1 species
GACGAACGCUGGCGGCGUGCUUAACACAUGCAAGUCGAACGGAAAGGCCCUGCUUUUGUGGGGUGCUCGAGUGGCGAACGGGUGAGUAACACGUGAGUAACCUGCCCUUGACUUUGGGAUAACUUCAGGAAACUGGGGCUAAUACCUGAUAGGAGCUCCUGCUGCAUGGUGGGGGUUGGAAAGUUUCGGCGGUUGGGGAUGGACUCGCGGCUUAUCAGCUUGUUGGUGGGGUAGUGGCUUACCAAGGCUUUGACGGGUAGCCGGCCUGAGAGGGUGACCGGCGACAUGGGGACUGAGAGACGGCGCAGACUCCUACGGGAGGCAGCAGUGGGGAAUAUUGCACAAUGGGCGGAAGCCUGAUGCAGAAACGCCGCGUGCGGGAUGAAGGCCUUCGGGUUGUAAACCGCUUUCGCCUGUGACGAAGCGUGAGUGACGGUAAUGGGUAAAGAAGCACCGGCUAACUACGUG